rnacentral:rRNA from 1 species
GAUGAACGCUGGCGGCGUGCCUAAUACAUGCAAGUCGAGCGAACAGACGAGGAGCUUGCUCCUCUGACGUUAGCGGCGGACGGGUGAGUAACACGUGGAUAACCUACCUAUAAGACUGGGAUAACUUCGGGAAACCGGAGCUAAUACCGGAUAAUAUAUUGAACCGCAUGGUUCAAUAGUGAAAGACGGUUUUGCUGUCACUUAUAGAUGGACCCGCGCCGCAUUAGCUAGUUGGUAAGGUAACGGCUUACCAAGGCAACGAUGCGUAGCCGACCUGAGAGGGUGAUCGGCCACACUGGAACUGAGACACGGUCCAGACUCCUAGGGGAGGCAGCAGUAGGGAAUCUUCCGCAAUGGGCGAAAGCCUGACGGAGCAAAGCCGCGUGAGUGAUGAAGGUCUUCGGAUCGUAAAACUCUGUUAUUAGGGAAGAACAAAUGUGUAAGUAACUAUGCACGUCUUGACGGUACCUAAUCAGAAAGCCACGGCUAACUACGUG